AAUUACAUAUGUAACUUGUAUUAUAUUUCUAUUGGAUAUGUCAGGUUGGACUAUAUGACUUCUUUACCUUUGUUUUCCUUAAAAUUCCUAGAUGUUAAAAAGUCUUUGGAGUUUUUAAUCUCAAAAUAUUUGCAUAACCUUCCCUAUACAUGUGUUUUUGCAACCACUGAUCUCACUGACCUCCAGGAUGAAGAAAUUUGUACAACACAAAAAAAUUAGAAGUAAAAUCUUUGUUUUACUUCUGAAUACUUCCUAAGAAACUCUCAGUUUACAGCUGAACACCAAGAGGAAUUUCAAGUAAAUAUUGAGAAGUUGUAAUGGUAUUUGUCACAGUGUAUGAAUUGUGUUUGAUGCUUUCUUCUUAAAUUGUCAGCAGAUUUUAAGAAUCAUAUUCAUUGAAAUUUGAGCAAAUUACCAGUAGAUGAUGGCCUUGCGACUUUUCCACAGGAUCUAGUUUGAAGGAUUAAGAAGGAUAAGACAUCAGUUUGAAAAGAACCCCAUCAGAACAACAUGAAUUCUGCUAAAAUUGAAGCAAGAACAAACAUCAAAUUUAUGGUGAAGCUUCAGUGGAAGAAUAGUAAAUCACUGAUGCUUAACAAAAAGUUUAUAGGACAAUAUCCCAGAGAAAUCAGUAGUUUACAAACAACUCAUUUUAAGAAGGGGUGAGAUAAUGUUGAAGAUGAAGUCUGCAGUGGCAAAACAUAUCCAUUUGUGAGGAAAAAAUUAAUCUUUUCUGUACCCUAAUUGAAAACAACUAAUAACUGCAGAAACAAUAGCCAAUACCACAGACAUCUCAAUUGGUUCUGUUUCCACUAUUCUGACUAAAAAAUUAAAAUUGAGCAAACUUUCCACUUAAUAGGUGUCAAAACCAUUGUGCCUAGAUAACCUGAAGACAAGAGCAGAGCUUUCAAUGGACAUUUUUAACAAGUGGAAUCAAGAUCUGGAAGUAUUUAUUUAAAGGACUGUAACAGAAGAUGAAGCAUGGCUUUACCAGGAUGAUCUUGAAGACAAAGCACAGUCAAAGCAAUGGCUA